rnacentral:rRNA from 1 species
AGCGGCGAACGGGUGAGUAACACGUAGGUGAUCUGCCCAUCAGACGGGGACAACGAUUGGAAACGAUCGCUAAUACCGGAUAGGACGAGAGUUUAAAGGUGCUUCUGGCACCGCUGAUGGAUGAGCCUGCGGCACAUUAGCUAGUUGGUAGGGUAAAGGCCUACCAAGGCGACGAUGCGUAGCCGACCUGAGAGGGUGAACGGCCACACUGGGACUGAGACACGGCCCAGACUCCUACGGGAGGCAGCAGUAGGGAAUCUUCGGCAAUGGGCGAAAGCCUGACCGUGCAACGCCGCGUGAAUGAUGAAGGCCUUCGGGUUGUAAAAUUCUGUUAUAAGGGAAGAACGACUUUAGUAGGAAAUGGCUAGAGUGUGACGGUACCUUAUGAGAAAGCCACGGCUAACUACGUGCCAGCAGCCGCGGUAAUACGUAGGUGGCGAGCGUUAUCCGGAAUUAUUGGGCGUAAAGAGCGCGCAGGUGGUUGAUUAAGUCUGAUGUGAAAGCCCACGGCUUAACCGUGGAGGGUCAUUGGAAACUGGUCGACUUGAGUGCAGAAGAGGGAAGUGGAAUUCCAUGUGUAGCGGUGAAAUGCGUAGAGAUAUGGAGGAACACCAGUGGCGAAGGCGGCUUCCUGGUCUGUAACUGACACUGAGGCGCGAAAGCGUGGGGAGCAAACAGGAUUAGAUACCCUGGUAGUCCACGCCGUAAACGAUGAGUGCUAAGUGU